rnacentral:rRNA from 1 species
AUUGAACGCUGGCGGCAGGCCUAACACAUGCAAGUCGAGCGGAUGAAGGGAGCUUGCUCCUGGAUUCAGCGGCGGACGGGUGAGUAAUGCCUAGGAAUCUGCCUGGUAGUGGGGGAUAACGUCCGGAAACGGGCGCUAAUACCGCAUACGUCCUGAGUGAGAAAGUGGGGGAUCUUCGGACCUCACGCUAUCAGAUGAGCCUAGGUCGGAUUAGCUAGUUGGUGGGGUAAAGGCCUACCAAGGCGACGAUCCGUAACUGGUCUGAGAGGAUGAUCAGUCACACUGGAACUGAGACACGGUCCAGACUCCUACGGGAGGCAGCAGUGGGGAAUAUUGGACAAAGGGCGAAAGCCUGAUCCAGCCAUGCCGCGUGUGUGAAGAAGGUCUUCGGAUUGUAAAGCACUUUAAGUUGGGAGGAAGGGCAGUAAGUUAAUACCUUGCUGUUUUGACGGUACCAACAGAAUAAGCACCGGCUAACUUCGUG